rnacentral:rRNA from 1 species
GAUGAACGCUGGCGGCGUGCCUAAUACAUGCAAGUCGAGCGAACGGACGAGAAGCUUGCUUCUCUGAUGUUAGCGGCGGACGGGUGAGUAACACGUGGAUAACCUACCUAUAAGACUGGGAUAACUUCGGGAAACCGCAGCUAAUACCGGCUCAUACUUUGAACCGCUUGGUUCAAAAGUUCAUGACGGUCUUGCUGUCACUUAUAGAUGGAUCCGCGCUGCAUUAGCUAGUUGGUAAGGUAACGGCUUACCAAGGCAACGAUGCAUAGCCGACCUGAGAGGGUGAUCGGCCACACUGGAACUGAGACACGGUCCAGACUCCUACGGGAGGCAGCAGUAGGGAAUCUUCCGCAAUGGGCGAAAGCCUGACGGAGCAACGCCGCGUGAGUGAUGAAGGUCUUCGGAUCGUAAAACUCUGUUAUUAGGGAAGAACAUAUGUGUAAGUAACUGUGCACAUCUUGACGGUACCUAAUCAGAAAGCCACGGCUAACUACGUG